rnacentral:rRNA from 1 species
UAUUGGACAAUGGGCGAAAGCCUGAUCCAGCAAUACCGCGUGUGUGAAGAAGGCCUUAGGGUUGUAAAGCACUUUCAAUUGGGAGGAAAACCUACCGGUCAAUACCCGGUAGCUUGACAUUACCUUUAGAAGAAGCACCGGCUAACUCCGUGCCAGCAGCCGCGGUAAUACGGAGGGUGCGAGCGUUAAUCGGAAUUACUGGGCGUAAAGCGUGCGUAGGCGGUUCGUUAAGUCAGAUGUGAAAGCCCUGGGCUCAACCUGGGAACGGCAUUUGAAACUGGCGGACUAGAGUUUAGUAGAGGGGAGUGGAAUUUCAGGUGUAGCGGUGAAAUGCGUAGAUAUCUGAAGGAACACCAGUGGCGAAGGCGACUCCCUGGACUAGAACUGACGCUGAGGUACGAAA